rnacentral:ncRNA from 1 species
AGAUUAAGAGUCGAUAGAAUAAUGUAGGUAAGGGAAGUCGGCAAAUUAGAUCCGUAACUUCGGGAUAAGGAUUGGCUCUGAAGAUUUACAUGUGUCGGGACUGUUUGGGAUGUAUAUUAACAGUAUUGCUAAAGUAUCUGACUAAUUACCUUUACGGGUAGUGAAAGGAUAUGAUUACGCGAUACAAUAAUAUGGAACUCUCAAGCUGUUACAAUCUUUACAGAUUAACAACGACCAUCAACAAACAAUCAAUUCAGAACUGGCACGGACAAGGGGAAUCCGACUGUCUAAUUAAAACAAAGCAUUGUGAUGGCUCUAACGGCUGUUGACACAAUGUGAUUUCUGCCCAGUGCUCUGAAUGUCAAUGUGAAGAAAUUCAAGAAAGCGCGGGUAAACGGCGGGAGUAACUAUGACUCUCUUCUAAUUAGUGACGCGCAUGAAUGGAUUAACGAGAUUCCUACUGUCCCUGUCUACUAUCUAGCGAAACCACAGCCAAAGGAACGGGCUUGGAAUCAUUAGAGGGGAAAGAAGACCCUGUUGAGCUUGACUCUACUUUGGCACUGUAAGAAGACAUAAGAGGUGUAGCAUAAGUGGAACACAUUCAGCAAUGUGUAUCAACAAUGAAAAACCACUACUUUUAUCCUUUUCCUACUUACCUGAUUGAAUGAAGAAUGCAUUUUCAUUUAUACCAUAUUUACUAUGAACCAUUGCCACUUUGAGAUGUUAUAAAAGGAGUUAAGACACGAUCCAAGUCAGGGACACUGCCAGGUGGGGAGUUUGACUGGAACGGUACAUCUCUAAAACAAUAACGGAGGUGUCCCAAGGCCAGAUCAGUGCGGACAGAAAACACACGUAGAGCAAAAGAGCGAAUGCUGGCUUGAUCUCGAUGUUCAGCAAACAUAGAGGCGGCGAAAGCUCGAUCGAUAGAUUCUUUUGGCAUUAGUGAGUUUUUAGCAAGAGGUGUCAGAUAAAUUACUACAUUGCUAACUAACUUGCUUCCAUUCUUCUUUUUUUUUUUAAUAUUUAUCAAACAUGU